UUUUUGGUCACUAGUUUUUCCGUCAUAAGUUAUUGUGGCAUCUUCUUCACCAGUUUCUCCAGCAUUCAAAGGGAAGAUAUACAUAUAACGCCUCCACUUUGCAGAGAAAUUAGGAUGAAAAGUACGUGUACCUUAGAAACAGAUAUGACCAUGAGCUUUCCUGGUAAUAUGCUGUUAAUGGCAUCUUCAAUGUCUUCAGGUCUAACAUCCUCUCUCCAAGUAUCUAAACAUUAA
rnacentral:lncRNA from 1 species